CCUUACUAUAAGUGUUGUCUAGAGGCUUGGUGCCAGAAGACUCGGUAAGACCAGAAACGCAAACGUUAGUCAUCUUAAUCAGGCGUAAAGGGUAUGUAGGCAGCUUUGAAAGUUUUAUUUUUAUACAAAGGCUCUAUUUAAAUAAAAAUAGUGAAAAUAAAAUAAAUUAAAGCUAGAAUCAAAUAGAGGAAAAACCAAAUAAUACUUAGAGUAGGGAUGAUAUCCAUAGAUACUAAGGGGAAUA
rnacentral:rRNA from 1 species